rnacentral:sRNA from 1 species
UAAUUGGAACGCGAUGCCAGAACUAUCGGC